CGAUGCAACGCGAAAACCUUAACCUACCUUUGUACAUGUACGGAACUCGCCAGAGAUGGCUUGGUGCUCGAAAGAGAACCGUAACACAGGUGCUGCAUGGCUGUCGUCAGCCCGUGUCGUGAGAUGUUGGGUUAAGUCCCGCAACGAGCGCAACCCUUGUCAUUAGUUGCUACAUUUAGUUGGGCACUCUAAUGAGACUGCCGGUGACAAACCGGAGGAAGGUGGGGAUGACGUCAAGUCCUCAUGGCCCUUAUAGGUAGGGCUACACACGUCAUACAAUGGAUGGUACAAAGGGUCGCCAACCCGCGAGGGGGAGCCAAUCCCAUAAAGCCAUUCGUAGUCCGGAUCGCAGUCUGCAACUCGACUGCGUGAAGUCGGAAUCGCUAGUAAUCGUGGAUCAGAAUGUCACGGUGAAUACGUUCCCGGGUCUU
rnacentral:rRNA from 1 species